AUGUUGUCAACCUGCUCUAAAACCUGCAAAAGAACCAGUCCAAAACCAUGUUGUCAAACUGUCCAAAACCUGCAUUGCAGCCCUACUAUACCACACUGCUAUACAAGUCCAAACCUGUCCAAAAUUUGCCCAAAAAUGAACAUACAUCAACCUGCAACAAGAAAGCUAGCGUUAGAAUACUAA